rnacentral:ribozyme from 12 species
CUGACUGAAAAGGAUUGGAACUGAAUUUCGAAAAUGGGAAUGGGAAUGAAAUCGACUUUGUCAAAGCUGCUGCAUUUCUUUUGUAUUAUAUUCAUGUCGUUUCUUUGUCCUUUUCUUUCAUUUUUCCUUCUUUCAUUU